AUGUGUUCCUGUUAACAAUUUCAUAAAAUCCCAGUUAAAAUGGAGUCGUUCAAAUGGAUAAUCUGAAUUUUUCUACAUGCUUCUUGGCUACUUUUGACAGACGUUUUUAGGAUGUCUUUAGACGUCGGCGUUAUUGCUUCCCUAUGCUUCGUGUAUAAACAUAAUGGCGUCGGUGCGUUCGAAAGUUGCGUCCAGACAAAGAGACAACGGUAUUUCUGCAGGCUUUUUUAUUGCUAAUUAUGAAACGUGCGAUAUAGUGUCCAAAAGGAAAGAUAGCCACAAAAAGAACAAAAAAAAAGAAGAAUUAUUGAAAUGCAACGACACUAACACAUUCAGACAAUUUAGAUAAUUAUACAAAUUUUUAUUAUUUUAUAAGUAUAACGUCAGAAGUGAGAACAUAAUACAUACAGAAAGAACUAUACAUACACAAAUAUUUAGAAAU